rnacentral:lncRNA from 1 species
CACUGCAAUAAUCCAGGAGAGAAAUCAUGUGAGCUUGAGAAGGAAUCAGAUUCUGCAUAUAUUUCCAAGUUAACAUGAACAAGAUUUUCUGAAAGACUGCUAUGGAGUCUGAGAAAAAAUGUCAAAGGUAGUGCCAAAAUUGUCACUUAAAGAACUGCAGGAAUGGAGUUGGCAUUUACAGAAUUUGGAAGAGAAGCAGGUUUAGUGAUAAAGACCAGAAGCACAGAGCUAAGCAUAUUAAACAUAUGCACAUGAACACUGGAUAUGCGAAUGCACAGAUUGAGGACAUGAAGAGGAAAGAACUGACAGAGGAGGUGAAGAAAGGUGAUCAGGAAGAGCCAUCAAAGUGUUAUCCUGGAAUUCAAGUGAAGACAGUGUUUCAAAGUGGAAAUGAACAGUGUCCUGUAACCCUCAGAGUGAGACUAGAGUCAGAAUGCAGGCUUUUCUCAUUUGAAAUCUAUAUGCCACAGAGAGGAUCCAGAGAGCCCAUCUCCGGUCAGUUAUCUGUAUUUGUAUGUCAACUACAGCAUCAAAAAGCAUAGGCAUGGAUACUAAGGACCCCCUCUGUACACCAACGCCAGUCCAAAGGACAGUGUGUCACUGUGAACUGGAAAUUCAUCUCUCUUCUUCAAUUUUUUUCUACCUACUUUAUGCUUUAUCUCUAAGUUGAGGCUGUUUAUGGCCUCAUCCUCAAUUACCUUGUCCCUCAUUACUCCCAGUUAAUGGAGAUUAAGCUUUGUAUCAUGACUUCCUAACUAAAAUUGAAAUCACAAGACAUCACAUAAAUAAAGUUACAAAUGGAUUAGAU